AAAAGCUCAAAUUUGAAAUCUGGUACUUUCAGUAUCCGAGUUGUAAUUUGUAGAAGCAACUUUGGUGAUGGUCUUUGCAUAAGUUCCUUGGAAUAGGACGUCAUAGAGGGUGAGAAUCCCGUUUAUGGUGAAGAACCCACACUAUGUAAAGUGCUUUCGAAGAGUCGAGUUGUUUGGGAAUGCAGCUCAAAGUGGGUGGUAAAUUCCAUCUAAAGCUAAAUAUUGGCGAGAGACCGAUAGCGAACAAGUACUGUGAAGGAAAGAUGAAAAGAACUUUGAAAAGAGAGUGAAAAAGUACGUGAAAUUGUUGAAAGGGAAGGGAUCUAAAUCAGACAUGGUAUUUUGUGAUCAACAGUCUUUCGGGACUGUGCACUCGCAUUUUACUAGGCCAGCAUCGGUUAGAAGGGGGUAAAAAAGAUUUUGGAAUGUGGCUCUUCGGAGUGUUAUAGCCAAGGUUAAUUGCCCCAUUUCUGACCGAGGACCGCGUCUUUUGACUAGGAUGCUGGCGUAAUGGUUUUGAUCCA
rnacentral:rRNA from 1 species